GGUAUGAAAUAUUAUUCAAGUUAUUUUUUAUCUGGUUCUUUAAGAGAUUUGAUUGGUUUUAGUGUUAUUAGGUCGGUAGGCAGGGAUUAGCUUGUUUAUGGUUUAUAUGCGUGAAGUGGGAUAAUUUUGUUUGUGAAGUUGAUAGUGCUUUUUUUUAAGGAGUUAUUAUAGAACAGGGUAUUUAGAUUGUUAUUUUAUGGUUGUGUAGUUAUUGGGGGUACCUAAAUUAAUUUUUUCUUAGUGAAAUAAUGAUUGUAUUAGUAAUAUUUUAUUUAAUUUUAGGUGGGGCUAUGAAAUAAUUGUGAGUGGUUAUGUCAGUUUUAAAUUAGGGCGGAUGAAUUCGGCAAAAUUAAUUUCUGACUGUUUAGCAAAAACAUUGUUUUUUGUUAGAUUAAAAAAUAAGUUCUGUCCACUGCUAUUAGGUGAAGGGCUGCAGUAUUUUGACUGUAUGAAGGUAGCAUAAUCAUUAGCUCUUUAAUUGGGGGCUGGUAUGAAGGUGAAACAGGGAUUGUCUAUAUUUGUUCUAUUAUUUGAAUUUUAUGUUUAUGUGAAAAAUCGUAAUUGGGUUAGAGGGACAAGAAGACCCUAAUAAGUUUUAUUUUUUUGUCUUAUGAUAGUAUAGGUGUGAUUUAUUUGAUUGGGGUGAAGGGGUUUAGCUGGGGCGGCUGUUUGUUUAACAUAAAUUAGUUUUUAACUUUGUUUGGC
rnacentral:rRNA from 1 species